CAAAGAAUUCUUCUUUCUACUUCACAAAGCAAUGAACAAACCUGUAUCCCCUUGGGGAAGGACGAGAACCUUCGACCAAGGCUCGAAUUGAGCGCAGCGAAAUAACAAUGCAUGCAGGGCGAGGAACGAAGUGACAAGUCAUUCUUCCCCCACCAUUU
rnacentral:misc_RNA from 1 species